rnacentral:rRNA from 1 species
UUGCACGCUGGCGGCAUGCCUUACACAUGCAAGUCGAACGGUAACAGGUCUUCGGAUGCUGACGAGUGGCGAACGGGUGAGUAAUACAUCGGAACGUGCCCAGACGUGGGGGAUAACGAGGCGAAAGCUUUGCUAAUACCGCAUACGAUCUAAGGAUGAAAGCAGGGGACCGCAAGGCCUUGUGCGUUUGGAGCGGCCGAUGGCAGAUUAGGUAGUUGGUGGGAUAAAAGCUUACCAAGCCGACGAUCUGUAGCUGGUCUGAGAGGACGACCAGCCACACUGGGACUGAGACAUGGCCCAGACUCCUACGGGAGGCAGCAGUGGGGAAUUUUGGACAAUGGGCGAAAGCCUGAUCCAGCAAUGCCGCGUGCAGGAUGAAGGCCUUCGGGUUGUAAACUGCUUUUGUACGGAACGAAAAGGCUCUGGCUAAUACCUGGGGCACAUGACGGUACCGUAAGAAUAAGCACCGGCUAACUACGUG